AGAAUGAACCCAGAACAUGUUUUUAAUCAGCGGACUGUUUCUUAAUCUACGGUUGUCUUCUUAGACCAAA